GAUGAGCGCUAGCGGCAGGCCUAACACAUGCAAGUCGAGGGGCAGCACAGAAACAGCAAUGUUUUGGUGGCGACCGGCGGACGGGUGCGUAACGCGUAUGCAACCUACCUUUAACAGGGGGAUAACGGAGAGAAAUUUCCACUAAUACCCCAUAACAUCGAUCAAGGCAUCUUGAUUGGUUGAAAACUCCGGUGGUUACAGAUGGGCAUGCGUUGGAUUAGGUAGUUGGUGAGGUAAUGGCUCACCAAGCCUACGAUACAUAGGGGGACUGAGAGGUUAGCACCCCACACUGGUAAUGAGACACGGACCAGACUCCUACUGGAGGCAGCAGUGAGGAAUAUUGGUCAAUGGGGGCAACCCUGAACCAGCCAUGCCGCGUGCAGGAAGACGGCUCUAUGAGUUGUAAACUGCUUUUAAACAGGGAUAAAGCACAGUAUGUAUACUGUGUUGAAGGUACUGUAAGAAUAAGGAUCGGCUAACUCCGUGCCAGCAGCCGCAGUAA
rnacentral:rRNA from 1 species